GGCCGCGUAGCUCAGUUGGCAGAGCAUUGGGCUAGUAUUCCCAAGGUCGUAGGUUCGAUUCCCACCGUGGCCG
rnacentral:tRNA from 1 species